GAUGAACGCUGGCGGCGUGCCUAAUACAUGCAAGUCGAGUGAACAGACGAGGAGCUUGCUCCUUUGACGUUAGCGGCGGACGGGUGAGUAACACGUAGGUAACCUACCUAUAAGACUGGGAUAACUUCGGGAAACCGGAGCUAAUACCGGAUAAUAUUUUGAACCGCAUGGUUCGAUAGUGAAAGACGGUUUUGCUAUCACUUAUAGAUGGACCUGCGCCGUAUUAGCUAGUUGGUAAGGUAACGGCUUACCAAGGCAACGAUACGUAGCCGACCUGAGAGGGUGAUCGGCCACACUGGAACUGAGACACGGUCCAGACUCCUACGGGAGGCAGCAGUAGGGAAUCUUCCGCAAUGGGCGAAAGCCUGACGGAGCAACGCCGCGUGAGUGAUGAAGGUCUUCGGAUCGUAAAACUCUGUUAUUAGGGAAGAACAAAUGUGUAAGUAACUGUGCACGUCUUGACGGUACCUAAUCAGAAAGCCACGGCUAACUACGUG
rnacentral:rRNA from 1 species